rnacentral:rRNA from 1 species
AACGAACGCUGGCGGCAUGCCUAACACAUGCAAGUCGAACGAAGGCUUCGGCCUUAGUGGCGCACGGGUGAGUAACGCGUGGGAAACUGCCUAUUGGUGGGGAAUAACGACGGGAAACUGUCGCUAAUACCGCAUAAGCCCUUCGGGGGAAAGAUUUAUCGCCGAGAGAUGUGCCCGCGUCCGAUUAGCUAGUUGGUGAGGUAAUGGCUCACCAAGGGGACGAACGGUAGCUGGUCUGAGAGGAUGAUCAGACACACUGGGACUGAGACACGGCCCAGACUCCUACGGGAGGCAGCAGUGGGGAAUAUUGGACAAUGGGCGAAAGCCUGAUCCAGCAAUGCCGCGUGAGUGAUGAAGGCCUUAGGGUUGUAAAGCUCUUUCGGGUGGGACGAUGAUGACGGUACCACCAGAAGAAGCCCCGGCUAACUUCGUGCCAGCCGCCGCGGUAA